CAGAGGUCACUAUUGCGAUUGCAAUUACGUAGCCUACCCUGGGACUUCAAGGACUAGUUUCUGGCCUACCCAACUGGGGACAGGCAACUGGCUGCAGACCUACCGCCUGAGUGAUCAUGCAGCCAGACACUCUUGCAAUAAGGAGCAACUCUUAUUAUACAUCAUACAUUAAAAACUAAACUUCAUUUCCAGACUCGAUUGUCACCCAACACCAACCGGGUACUAACACCAUCGCCUCUCUCUCUCUCUCUGUGUCUGUGUGUGUGUGUUUCCAGUCUCAUAAACGUUGAGAGUUCCAGACUCCAACGGUUUUCCUUAGGCUUGGAUGCGUGAGGGGUAAGGCUUGUUUGGGAAAGUGCCCAUGGUGUUGAGUGCUGCAUGGAUGCGGAAGUGAAGCCUAGACUCCAUGCUGUAGUCCUUGUAGGUGAC